UCAGGAUGAACGCUGGCGGCGUGCCUAACACAUGCAAGUCGAACGAAGCUCCAAUACUUGAGAUUCGGUCAAGAGUAGAGGAAGACUUAGUGGCGGAUGGGUGAGUAACACGUGAGCAACCUGCCCUUCGGAGGGGGACAACAGCUGGAAACGGCUGCUAAUACCGCAUAACGUACAGAGGCCGCAUGGCUUUUGUACCAAAGAAGUAUCGCCGAGGGAUGGGCUCGCGUCUGAUUAGCUAGUUGGUAAGGUAACGGCUUACCAAGGCUUCGAUCAGUAGCCGGACUGAGAGGUCGAACGGCCACAUUGGGACUGAGAUACGGCCCAGACUCCUACGGGAGGCAGCAGUGGGGAAUAUUGCACAAUGGGGGAAACCCUGAUGCCAGCAACGCCGCGUGAGUGAUGACGGCCUUCGGGUUGUAAAGCUCUGUCUUCAGGGACGAUAAUGACGGUACCUGAGGAGGAAGCCACGGCUAACUACGUGCCAGCCGCCGC
rnacentral:rRNA from 1 species